UACAGAGGUCCCAAGCGUUGUUCGGAUUCACUGGGCGUAAAGGGUGCGUAGGUGGCGAAGUAAGUUCGAUGUGAAAUCUCCGAGCUUAACUCGGAAAUGUCAUUGAAUACUAUUUUGCUGGAGGGUCGGAAGGGAGACUGGAAUUCUCGGUGUAGCAGUGAAAUGCGUAGAUAUCGAGAGGAACACCAGUGGCGAAGGCGAGUCUCUGGACGACUCCUGACACUGAGGCACGAAAGCUAGGGGAGCAAACAGG
rnacentral:rRNA from 1 species